rnacentral:rRNA from 1 species
AGGUGGAUGAGGAGAGAAUCCUAAGGCCGACGGGAGAAGUAUUGUUAAGGAACUCGGCAAAAUGACUCCGUAACUUCGGGAGAAGGAGUGCCAUGAGAGUGGCCGCAGAGAAAUGGCCCAAGCAACUGUUUAGCAAAAACACAGGUCUAUGCAAAACCGCAAGGUGAAGUAUAUGGGCUGACGCCUGCCCGGUGCUGGAAGGUUAAGGGGAGAGGUUAGCGCAAGCGAAGCUUUGAACUUAAGCCCCAGUAAACGGCGGCCGUAACAAUAACGGUCCUAAGGUAGCGAAAUUCCUUGUCGGGUAAGUUCCGACCCGCACGAAAGGCGUAAUGAUUUGGGCACUGUCUCAACGAUACACCCGGUGAAAUUGAAAUACCAGUGAAGAUGCUGGUUACCUGCGCCAGGACGGAAAGACCCCAUGGAGCUUUACUCCAGUUUGAUACUGGGAUUCGGCAUGGUAUGUACAGGAUAGGUGGGAGACUGAGAAGGUAUGACGUCAGUUGUACCGGAGUCGCUGUUGGGAUACCACCCUUACCAUGUUGGAUUUCUAACCUGUGGCCGUGAACCGGUCAGGGGACAAUGUCAGGCGGGGAGUUUGACUGGGGCGGUCGCCUCCGAAAGGGUAUCGGAGGCGCUCAAAGGUUCCCUCAGAAUGGUUGGAAACCAUUCGAAGAGUGCAAAGGCAGAAGGGAGCUUGACUGUGACACCGACGGGUGGAGCAGGUACGAAAGUAGGACUUAGUGAUCCGGUGGUAUAAAGUGGGAUUGCCAUCGCUCAACGGAUAAAAGCUACCCUGGGGAUAACAGGCUUAUCACUCCCAAGAGUUCACAUCGACGGAGUGGUUUGGCACCUCGAUGUCGGCUCAUCGCAUCCUGGAGCUGUAGCAGGUUCCAAGGGUUGGGCUGUUCGCCCAUUAAAGCGGUACGCGAGCUGGGUUCAGAACGUCGUGAGACAGUUCGGUCCCUAUCCGGCGCAGGCGGAGGAAAUUUGAUAGGAGCUGUCCUUAGUACGAGAGGACCGGGAUGGACGGACCGCUGGUGUAUCUGUUGUACUGCCAAGUGCAUCGCAGAGUAGCCAAGUCUGGAAGGGAUAAACGCUGAAGGCAUCUAAGCGUGAAGCCCCCCUAAAGAUAAGAUUUCCCAUACCGAAAGGUAGUAAGACCCCUUGAAGACGACGAGGUAGAUAGGGCAGAGGUGGAAGUGUGGUAACGCAUGGAGCUGACUGUUACUAAUCAGUCGAGGCUUUAACC